UGGUGGUGUUACCACUGGAGGGUUGGGUACAAAAGGUGGUGAAACGACUGGGGGUGUUGGUGCUGGUGGUUUUGGAGUGAAAGGGGGUGAAACAACAGGUGGUUUUGGAAUGACUGGUGGUGAAACAACAGGCGGUGUUGGUGCUGGUGGUUUUGGAGUGAAAGGUGGUGAAACAACAGGUGGUUUUGGAAUGACUGGUGGUGAAACAACCGGUGGUGUUGGUGCUGGUGGUUUUGGAGUGACUGGGGGUGAAACAACAGGUGGUGUUGGUGAUGGUGGUUUAGGCACAUAAGGUGGACUGACAGUGGGAGGUGGAUGUACUACUGGUGGUUUUGGGACAUAUGGAGGUUUUACAUGAGGUGGCUUGACAUGUGGAGGUCGGGGUGGAGGGCACGGUUUUGGUGUAGGGUGUUUAGGGGUCUUAGGGGUGGAAGGUGGUUUUACAUGUGGGGGAUAUUUAGGGUGGGUGGGGGUGGAUGGUGGUUUUACAUGAGGGGGAUAUUUAGGGUGGGUGGGGGUGGAAGGUGGUUUUACAUGAGGAGGUUGUUUGGGGUGGUGGGGGGUAGAAGGUGGUUUUACCUUAGGAGAUGGAUGUUUGGGAGGCAAUUUUGGGUGUUUUGGGGUGGAAGGAGGAUAAGGGCAGUAAGG
rnacentral:lncRNA from 1 species